AUUCUGAUUUAUAUUUCUAUUAUGUGAAAUUAGGAUUUCAUUUCUGGCUUUUCAAACUUUCAAGGAACCACUAUUUAUCAAGGCAGAGUCAUGGGGUUUCUUAAGCAGCUGUGUGGCUUUGAAACCGUAUGAAGUCCAGCUGUGACUGCAGAUCUAAGUGUUUUAGAAUGAAAGAAAACUUUCUGAAGACCAUUUCUACUACCUAUCCUUGAAUUCAGCAAUUGUGUGAAAUACUGGAGAUGAUGACUCAGCUUAUUGCAUUCAUGCUUUGCAGGUAAACCUUGAUACCAUGAGAAAGGAAGACGAGCUCUGUGAGCUUAUUGCUUUGAUUCAUAUAUAUAAAUCCUUGUGAGGCUACAGAAAGGGAUGGUAGUAUGACGUUGGAAAUGUAAGCUGCAUGAGAACAGAAGUUAUGUCUACUUUGAUUACUGACACAUCUCAUCAUUCUAACGGUGCCUGGAACAGGGUAGUUAGUUGCUUGAUAAACAUUUAUUCAAAGGCAUGAAUGACUGAUAUUAUGAGAAACUGAGGAAUGGACAGAGAGCUGAGGUUAAGAGAGCUGAGGUUGGCAUCAUCGCUCACCUCUUGGAAAUAUGAUAGUGUAGGACUGCCAAACUGUGACAAUUAGCAGGAAGGGUACAGCAGUUGGGAGGAGGAGGUAUAAUGAAGCAGCUGUGGUUUUGGCAGCCUCAGAUACAGAUGAGAGAAACUACUCUAGAGGAAGAUGACUUAUGGAAAAGAGAAAAUGGAUUCUUGAUUUACUUUGAGAAGAGAUGAGCUGCUCAACUUACCAUAAAUUCUCAUCGGACCUAACUUUUAAUUUCUGAGUUCUAAAGAAAGGUUAACCAAUCUAUAUUUCCUGAACUGUGUCUAAGCUAUGUUUUCAUUGCAUGGCAAUUGUAGAUUGCAAAGUACAUCUGUAUAAUCCUAAGCAUUUCUUGGCUUGCAGUCUGGAAAAUGUCAGUGGCUUAUAUCUCAUGGGAAAUGCUGUAAAUAAAUGUCACUGUUGCCUGUCCAGUUGUUGAAG
rnacentral:lncRNA from 1 species